CAUCAUCUUAGAGGACAACAUCUGGGGCAACAUCUUACAUGGCAUCUUAGACCAGCAUCUUACUAUAUGUUUGGCUGCCUUGGCUAGCUAUAAAUAUGUAACUCCAACCCCUCAGGUUGGUAUGAUAUUGAGUGAGAAGUAAACCAGAAAAAUUGCCCCAACUUAUAGUGUCAUCCUCUCGAUGAGAAUAAGAAUUUCGCUACUUACAUGCAUUACAUUGUGAUACACAUAAAAAAAUAUAGCUAAUGCAUUAGAAAGCAUUUUCCUAUCCAUUAGACCUCUUGCUUUUGGUCGUUUCUCAGUUCCUUUUCAAUGUUUUCUGUUGUACAUGUCGUGCCCCUUUAGAGGUCAUAUGAGUCACCUAAACUCCUUUUUUCUUAAUAUAAUGUUAUGCAUUCACUUGCGUAUUGAGAAAAAAAGACCUGCUAUUAAUUUUAUCACUGGGAGAGGGGAGGUGGAAAUGGGAAUUUAUAAAACUAUUGCAUGAGCUAUAGCUCAGUUGGUCAAGGUUGUCAAUGUAUUACAUGUACCCAUACCACCUAGGUUCAAGUCGCCAUAAAGACAAAUUUAGGUGCCUAUUUCUCUACUAUAUUUAAGUGGGAGUUUCUCCCUUUGUGUGUCAUCUCCUCCAAUGAGUGCAAC
rnacentral:lncRNA from 7 species